rnacentral:lncRNA from 1 species
CGGAGGGGGAGGGGCGGCCUCUAGCGCGCCUUUGUGCUUGAACAAUGACCAGCUGCCACUGGCCCCAGGGGCCAGGCUAGGGUAGAGGGUGAUCCGCCCGCCAAGUUCCGAGCCGCAAAACACAUGUCCACCCGGCUUCGCAGGGAGGGAUCCUGAACGCUGCCGUGCAGCUCCGGCGUGCGCCCUGGCGGACACGCGUGACGUGGGGUGCUUGCGCGUGUCUGCGCCCCAGGGCGGGGACGCCCCUUGGACCCUCCUCCGCACCGCACCGCACCGCCCACUCGGGCCGGGCGGGGGCUGGCCCGGGCUGGGGGCACCGCCGUGGCGGAGGCGGGGCCCGGUCAGCCCGGCUGCUCCGAGUGGCCGCGCGCGGGCCGGAGCGGGCGACGCGCCUGUGGAGCGCUUGGGGCGGCCUGGGGCUGAGCAUGGAGCAACGCAGCGGAGGUGAGGGGGCCAGGGCUGGGUCG